CAAGCAUUUCCUCCAUGGCAGCUGGAUAAAACAUGCUCCGAACUCCUUCCCAGAUGGCAAGAGUGAGAGAGGAAUAUGAGGGUGACUUACCUGCUUCCACGUGGGACCUGGGACCAGAUAACUGACACUGGAGGAUUCUGGGAGAUGGGGCUGAUGGAGCUACGCAGUGAUCUGCUGGAGAAUUCAGGAAACCUGGAAAGAUGCCCUGGAGUGAAAACAAGUCUCAAUUCCAAGCUUGGGUGAAAAGAAAUGAAAGAGGCAAGGGAAUGGGCUUUUCUUCCCAGCUCUGAUGAGACAGACACACCUCUGGAGACCGCCCACAGGAAAUCCAUUUCAGUACCCAUCCAGGUAAAAUGGCAAGUCCCGAAGAUCAUAAGCCUGAAUCCAGUGGUGUUUAAAGAGAACUGUAGACUCAGCAGCCUUUCUUGCUCCCUGACUUUUCCAGCAGAACUUCGGAGUGGUCCCUGAAUGGAAAGAAAAAUCUACUUCACAACAUCAGGAACUGCAAUUCAUAUCUAGAUUUUAUUAAUUACCUAUAUAACAUAUAAAUUUAAUGUAUUAAUAUAAUAAUGAUAUUUGGAA